UUUAAAUCACAACACAGGAAGCUUCCGAGGACCAAUCACGCACAGCCUUUGCAACAGAUUACUACAGGCUAAUUCCCUACAGAGAACAGUCAGUCAGUUACCUUUUGCUUCCACAGGGCAUUGCCAGCUACCAACCAAGGAAAGAUGAGCUACUCCACUGGAUUGUUAAAGAGCCCCACCAUGGACCAUAAUUACUAAGGGGAUGAUGCAUAAACUCAGUUCUGCUUUCUGCUUCCGUAUCCAUGAAGCCCACCGAGUAAGUGGAGUUUGCCAUUAGCAGGGUCUCUAAGUACCCUUUUGGAUUGACUUCUUCCUCUUUGUGACUUGCCAGGAAGUGGUAAGAUCCUUUCAAUCGGAUGUUUGGGGACAGGUUAGGAAGAGUCAGAAGCUGGUCUUAGGCCCAAGCCUGAGGAGGGUGCACUGAUCCAGCUUAUCCAAAGUACUGUUUUAGGUUUUGGCUACAUGUAUAGUAAUCAGUUAAGUGUACUUGCUACAAUUAUGACCAAUUAGCCUUUGAGUGUGCAGCUCCAAUGGUGAGAAGGACCUGCUGGCCGGUCAAGAUUUAAGCAUUCUUGGAUCCCCUGGACAUACUGCCACCAAAUUACUGUCAAGAACCCCAUUCUUCAACGUAACAGGAAUUAUUAAAAAAUAAUUUGCUCCAUGAAUUACUACUUUUGUUUUAGGCUUUUCAUGUAAACAAUACUACAGUAACCUUCAGCAUGAUUACUCAAAAGAAUUGUAAAACGAAAUUCGCCUAUAUAUCCAAUCUUUUUACAUUUUUAAAGAAUUUAAAAUAACUUUUGUUAACCUGCACUUAUUUUUUUUUCUUUGUCUUCCAGUUGUAUGUCCAGUGGCAUAUGGGCUCUCAAGUUCACGUGCUCAUUUUUGAGUUGUUCCCCUUCAUCUGGCUCCAUCCUUACGAUCUUUAUGGUCUGGGCAUUUGGAAUAAUGUAACUCUCUGUAGUGAACAUAUUUCUCUUAUAUCUGGAUUUGCCAAUGUAGGGACUUUCAUCUGGGGUUUUAUCAAUUUCGACAUACUAAAAGCAAAAUAAGUAAAGAUUUAUGGUUUAAUAAGUAACUUCUAAGCAGCCAGGUAAAAAAUAUAUACUUUUUUUUUUUUAUCUUACCCUUAACAUACCAAAAAAGAACUAAAACAAAAAAUGGUCUCAAGGUGUUCCUCUUCCCAUCCCCAAAGAGUGGGUUUAGCUUGGUUGAUUAAAGAACUGCCUACAGGUAUGUGAUUAUUAGCAUUGCUUAAUCUCUCAAAUCAGAAAUUUCAGUGUUUUAUUUUGGUUUCUUAGCUGAUAUGUAAGUAAAACCCCACCUAAUAAAUGGUAAUAAUUGACUUUUUUAUGAAAUAAUAUUACGAUAUUCAUUGGAAUCACAGAUUCCCUUGGGGCUUUUUACCUUUUUUGGAGGCUGCUUUAACUUACUGAACCAAAAAUUCACUGUUUCAAGCAAAAUGUGUUUACUCUGAAAGUGGAAUGAUUACGGAUAAAGUCCUUUGAACAUUUCUUUCCACCAUCUGCCUCGCCCCACUCCACUCCCUGCUGGCUUUAACUGUGGAUUACUAAGAAGUUUAACUCACCUCUGAUGGAUAAUAAUUUAGUGGCUCAAAUUUGGCAUCAAUUUUAUAAAAGGCCAAUUCCUGUUCCAUCUCAUACUGUUUUUGACACGCUCGCAUUAGUUCCAUGGUCUUCUGUUUUAGCUAUUGGUCCAAUUUGAUAUGAAACAACAUACAGUGUCAGUAAGUUAGUAUACAAGUAUGAUGGUAUGGCAAGUUCUAAUCAUAGCUAAUAAUUAGAUUGUUUUAAACCUCGCAGCAAAUAGCAGAACACUCACAGCAUUUUGUUUUCAUUCUAAAGGAUAAUAAAGAAUGCAAUAUAAAAUUACCACUUCAUAAGAGAUCAUCACAUAAAAGACCUUUGAAGUUUAUAUGCUAUUUCAGGGUAUAAAGAUUUAAUGAAUAAAGAUUUAAAAACUCAUCUAAAUUUGCUUUAUCCAAAUGUGAAAAUAAUUCUGUAUCAAUUAUUUUUAUGUAAUCUAUUAAGUACCUGCUUCCAGACUUUCCAAUAAUUAACACUAAUUUAUUUAACUUACUCUACAAUUUUAAUAGCAGCUUCAAAUUAUGGAUGGAAAUGAUAUUUGGGAUUAAUUACAAAGGAAUCAGAAGAAGGAGUGAGAAGGAGGAAAUUAAGAGACUGGUUUUAAUUGUUGUACUGUUGUUGCUGUAGUAUCUCAGUGUUCUGAACAUUAUUCUUUGUAAUAGAGGAUAAAGGAUGUAAAUAAUGUCAAUCAGAUCCCAAUAUGUAAUAUUACAUUUUUAAUAAAAUAAUUCUACUAUAAUUACAGUUUACUUAUUCUUAGAAAUUUUUAGAGCUAGAAGAAAAGAGAUCAUCCAAUUUAAUUCUCUGAAAUACAAAUAAAGAAAUUGAGUCCUAGAUUGGUGAGCUGACUUGUCAAAAGUUACACAUGAGAUUAGUGGCAGAUGCUAAAUAUUUUAUUAACUACCACUACGAGCCCCCUUUCUACUAAACCAAUCCGGUGAGUUCAUUUCAAAGGUCCGCUAAGUGAUUUUUGUCUUUUUUAUUUUUUGACAGGGUCUGAUAGUAGUUACCAGACAAAAACAUGCAGAAAAACUUCAUUAAUAUAAAAAUGCAAGCUGAAGAGAAUAAGACAUAAACAGACAGGAACAUUUUACAAGGCCCAGGAAAUCAAAGUCGUGCAGGAUUUAGCUUACAGUCAUCUCCUGAUUAUCCAUCAAAAUGGAAGUAAGGCUAACCGGGAUAACAGGCUAAUUGACCUGCUACCUGAAGAAUUACUUUAUGAAACUGGAAAGCAUUAUACAACUAAAGAAAAUAUUAUCACCAAAUAGUCUGCAGAAGAGAAUAGAAAGUGUUUUUCAAAAGUAGGCUCUUAGAAUAAGAUCCAGAAUUCUUUUUGUAACAUAGUAUAGUCUUUUGGAAUAAUGAAAGAAGAACAGGCAAAUACAUAUGCAAUACUCAACUCUCCAACAGCUAAACAAAAGUGAAAUUAAAGCAAUGAGAUUCUACUUUUUUCCUAUCCUAUUUACACGUUCAAAAUAAUAAUAUCAAGUGGGGAAUUGGGCUCUUUCACUCACUGCUGUAGAAGUAUAAAGCUGUUAUAAGCUUUUAAUGUUUACUAAAAUUUAAGAUGCAAAUAACACAGUAAUUCCACUUGUGAUUUCUUUUAAUUUUUUUAAAAUUAAAGAAAGAGAGAGAAUGAGUGGGGGAGAUGGGCAGAGGGAGAAAGAGAGAGAAUCUCAGGCACACUUCACGCUCCGUGUGGAGCCCAAUGCUGUGCUUGAUCCCACAACCCUGGGAUCAUGAUCUGAACCAAAAUCAAGAGCCAGAUGUUCAACCAACUGAGCCACCUAGGUGCCCCUAAAUUUUUUCUUGAACUCAUAACCCCAAGACUCAGAGUCACAUGCUCUACCAACUGAGCCAGUCAAAUGCCCCAACUUGUAGUGAUUUAUACUAAGGAAUUACUAUUAUGAAUGCAUAGGAAUAUACACACAUGGAUUUUUCUCUGUAUUAUCGUUUCUAAUAAAAAAGUGGAAGCAAUCUAAAUAUUCAUCAAUAAGAGUAGGUUAAAUUAUGGAGUACCCAUAUAAUGGAACAUAAUACAGACUUUGAAAAAAUAGAUUUGUGUGUACGUGUGUAUGCACAUGUGGGUAUGUUUUUUAACUUGGAGAGCUAUGAUAUACAUUGUUUUGUAAAGAAUAAGAUGCAUAAUCAAAAAUACAGGAAGCUUCUUUUUUAUCACACAAUAUUUAGAGGUACAUAUAUUCAAUUACAUAUACAUUACAUAAUAUUUUAUAAGCAUAGAAAACAAAAAGAAUAUAUAUUAACAUCCAGGGAAUAGGGAAGAGAAAGAGUGAAACCUUCAUUGUCUACUGCAUACAUUUGUGUUGUCAAAAUUUGUUAUGAUAAAUAUAUAAUAACUUUGUAUGUAAAUAUGUUUUUAAAUGGUUAAUGGUAAAAAUAACAUCAUAAGAGCAAUGUCUUCUAGCCAAAAAUAGUGAACAAAAGCCCAGCAAAAACUGUUGACAAAUAACAAAACAUUUAUUCACAGCAAAACAUAAAAAAGAUCAGUAACUCAGGAAAAUUUAUUAAACGUUCAUAAAUAUCAAGUCAAAGUCAUACCAUAGUAAGUAUUGUUUUUUAUAUAUGUAUUUUAUUUUUAAGGUUUAUUUUUUAUUUUUAAGUAGGCUACAUGCCCAACGUGGGGCUUGAACUCAUGAACUCAAGAUCAAGAGUCAUGUGCUCUAUUGACUGAGCCAGGCAGGCGCCCCUAUAUUUGUUUUUUGUUUUUAAGUUUAUUUAUUUAUUUUGAGAAAGAGAGUGUAUGUGUGCAUGCUAAUGGGAGAGUGGCAGAGAAAGAGGGAGAGAGAAUCCCACGCAGGCUCCUUGCUGUCAGCAUAGAGCCCAAAACAGGGCUUGAACUCACAAACCGUGAGAUGAUGAAAUCAAGAGUCAGACACAACUGACUGAGAGACCCAGGUGCCCUAUAUUUGUAUUUUUUUUUAAUUUUUUUUUAACGUUUAUCUUUAUUUUUGAGACAGAGAAAGACAGAGCAUGAGUGGGGGAGAGGCAGACAGAGAGGGAGACACAGAAUCGGAAGCAGGCUCCAGGCUCUGAGCUGUCAGCACACAGCCCGACGCGAGGCUCGAACUCAUCAACUGAGAGAUUGUGACCUGAGCUGAAAUCGGACACUCAACCAACUGAGCCACCCAGGCGCCCCCCUAUAUUUGCAUUUUAAAUACAAAUGCUAAGUGGUGGCCCAAAGAGUGCACUGCUAAAAUAAAACUGAUCGUCACAAAAAUUUCCAAUGAUUAGUUUAGGCAUCGAUCCACUCUAUUAUGAAAUAGAGAGCAACAGAUAGGUGUAUAGUAUAAAAUUACUGGUAAUUAUCAGAUUACUAAUAUCACAUAUGUCUCUCGUGAUGUCCUCCUGGUAUAUAUCAUCUUAUCUUUUUUUCUUUUUUAAGAUUUUUCUAAAGUAAUCUCUACACCCAGCAUGGGGCUCAAACUCAUAACCCCAAAAUCAAGAAUCACAUGCUCUUCUGAAUGAGUCAGCCAGGUGCCCCUGUACCAUCUUUUUUCUCAGGCAAAGAAGAGCUCAAGAAGGAGGUAGUCAAGUAUUCAGAUUUCAAGAAAUAAUUUCCAUCUCUACACAGAGGAGGAAACACUUUUCUUACUAAAAACUUUAAGUGCAUAAGCAGAAUUCUUGUCAACAAAUCAAGUCAUUCAAGCCAGCAUGCCAAUCUUGAAAGGGGGGUGGUGCAAGAAAAAGAUAAAUGUGUCAAGGAUUCUACUAGUUAUAUGAGAAAUCAAAUACUCUAAGUUAUAAACAGAGCAGAAAAAAGAAUGGUCAAAAGAAAAAAAAAGCAAUAGCUAUUUUUUUAUAGAAUCAAAUUAUCUGGGUUGAAAAAGCCUUUAAAGGUCAUGUACUCUGGGGUGCCUGGGUGGCUCAGUCGGUUAAGCGGCCAACUCUUGAUUUCAGCUUAGGUCAUGAACUUAUGAUCAGAAGGUGCCAGACCCAGAGACUUCAGAGGCCUUGAGUCCAUGUUCCGUGAAGAAUGGCCAAAGCAACAGGGGUGUCCAAGCUGGAGAAGAGGAGAUCUAGUGAGCAAUGAAAAUUAUCUUCGAGAGUCAGAGGACUGUUUUAUGGAAGAGGGACUAAAGUUACUGACCCAGGUGCCAGAGAAAAAUUUAAGAAAUGGCAAAUAGAAUUAUAAGAAAACAGUUUUUCAUCUGGUAAUAAAGAAGAAAUUUCUAAUAGCUGUCCUGAGAUAAAAUGUGGUAACUCUGGAAUGUGAUUGCUAUCACUACAACAGGCAUAUAUGCUUAGGUUUUAGAGAAAAGAGAAAAAACAUUAGAUAGGGAGAUGGACUAAAUGACCUUUAUUUUUUUGUUGGUUUUUGUUUGUUUGUUUAAAGUUUAUUUUGAGAGAGAGAGAGUUGGGGAGGGGCCGAGAGAGAAUCCUAAGCAGGCUCCACCCUUGGCCAGAGCCCAAUGCAAGGCUUGAUCUCAUGAACCAUGAGAUCAUGACCUGAGCCGAAUCAAGAGUUGGACUCUCAACUGACUGAGCCACCCAGGUGCCCUAUAAGGCUGUCUAAAUCUAAUCUGUCUAAAUCUCUUUUAAAA